rnacentral:rRNA from 1 species
CGCAUUCUUCUGCAGAGAGCGCCCAUCGAGUUUUCCCUCUCGCAUUCAUUCGCCCGUUUCCCAUUCCUCUCCAGGGCAAGCAGGCGACGGCGAUUUUGGAGAGGGAGAAGGGAAAAGGGGGUAGAGACCCGCUCCGAAACCAGGAUGUUGUGCUCAGUUUGCUUCGUUCAUUGUGAGAUGAACAACGGCAGGAGCUUUGGCAUGUUUUUUCGGGAUGUCAAUGAAAGCUUUGCGUUUUGUAGGUCGUACCCGUAUUGCUCGCUUGAUCCGUCGUGCUAGGUCGUAAUCUUGCCAGUCCUGUGAGUUGUGGAGCCCAGCUAGAGUUGUUAUGCUACCAAAUCAAUACUUACGCCGCCAUUUUUAUCAGACUUUCGCUGUCAUUUAAUAGCCUUAGGGCUAUGCCAGAUAAUUGUAUUCAUCAAUGAUGUAAUCUCAUAUACAUGUAUUUGAUGAAUAUUUU